AGUAGGGCGAAGCCAGAGGAAACUCUGGUGGAGGCUCGUAGCGGUGCUGACGUGCAAAUCGCUCGUCAAACUUGGGUAUAGGGGCGAAAGACUAAUCGAACCAUCUAGUAGCUGGUUUCCUCCGAAGUUUCUCUCAGGAUAGCAGGUUCAAAUUGGAUUGUCGUGUGUGGUAAAGCGAAUGAUUAGCAUACUCGGGGACGUUUAGUCUUCGGAUGAUUCUCAAACUUUAAAUGCGCACGGAUGUUGCCGCUUGGGUGGGCGGCAUCUCUAGAAACUUGAGCUUUGUGGGCCACUUUUGGUAAGCAGAACUGGCGAUACGGGAUGAACCGUAAGUGUGGUUAAGGCGUCAAAUUGUCCGCUUAUAGAUUCCAAAAAAGGUGUUGAUUCAUCGAGACAGCAGGACGGUGGCCAUGGAAGUCGGAAUCCGCUAAGGAGUGUGUAACAACUCACCUGCCGAAUGAAUUAGCCCUGAAAAUGGAUGACGCUAAAGCGGGCAGCCGACACCACGCCGUUUGGGGAAAAUGUGAACAAAAAAACUCAAAUGAGUAGGAGGAACGUGGCGGUCGUGGUGAAGCGUGCGUGCAAACGUGCGUGGAACGUCCGCUAGUGCAGAUCUUGGUGUUAGUAGCAAAUAUUCAAACGAGAACCUUGAAGGGCGAAGCGGGGAAGGGUUCCACGCGAACAUUGAUUGAGCGUGGGUAAGUCGUUCCUAAGCCGCGUGGCAAUAGCUAAUUACCGGCGAAAGGGAAGCAGGUUGAUAUUCCUGCACACGGAUGUGGAAGCGGUGACGCAUACUUGGGACGGUGAAGCUGGCGAUAGCUCUGGGCAGAGUUUUCUUUUCUGUUUAACUUGUCUGUGCUUGCAGUGUGGAAUCCGCUUGUCGGGAGAAACACGCGAGUCUGGGAAUAGCGCCGGGUUUUUUUCCGGCGUCCAGAACGCUAUCGUCGGACCUUGAAAAACUGUCUGCAGGCAUCAUUAUUGUAAUGUUGUCGAUAGUAAAAAUCCACGCCGUUACGUACCGAUAACCGCAUCAGGUCCCCAAGGUGAACAGCCUCUGCUCGAUAUGAAAAAUGCAGGUAAGGGAAGUCGGCAAAUUGGACCCGUAACUUUGGGAAAAGGGUUGGCUCUAGUGCUGCGUGGGAUACGCUGCAUCAGUGUGAUUUUUGGCGGGAAGUUGUACCUUCUGCUGGGAAAGCGUGUGCCUCCGGGUGGACGUGGACUCGGCGGGAGUCGACAGACUGCUGGGGAAAGCCUGGUG
rnacentral:rRNA from 1 species